CAUUAGAUGACUGAAAGCAAGUAAUGGUCUCUUAAACCAACCAAUAGUAAAUUAGCAUAUACUUCUAAUG
rnacentral:tRNA from 1 species